rnacentral:lncRNA from 1 species
UUGGCGUACAUCUUUUCAACGAGCCUCUUCUCAGAGCAGAUCAUUUCAGCUUGCUUCUAUUUAGCCUAUUAUCAUUUUGGCGUUUUAUAUGUAUACAUAUUAUAUUAUAAUUACCUUCAAUCAAAGGGAUCCGUUCUGUUUACUUCGGGUAAGCAGUAUGUCUACCUUGAGUCUUGAAAUAGACACUCGAUAUUAUGCCGGAGGAGUCUGACUCCUCAAGCAACGCAAUGCCCAAUGGGGGAUUAUCUCUUAGUGGCUCAAAGGGAAGAAGCUCUCGCUUUUCCAAUAUGCUAGGAUUGAAGUUUACUCUCCCCUAACGGCUUAAAAGGAGAGGGGGAGUGUGAGGUGAGAUGACACAAAGUUAUUGGAUCGAGGGGGAGAUCCUGUUUUAUAGGUUAGGAACUAACGAGGAAGAGUAUUUCGAUCACUAUUUGGGAGGACUAUGGAUGCAAGCUGAGGAUUUCGAAGAUCAGAACCUAAUUAACAUGAAUAUAGGUGGGGGAGUGAUUUAUUUUGUUCUGUAUUACACUCCGUCGAAUGCUCUAGCGAAUAUUUCGCCAUAACAUACAAUUCCAACUAAUCAAUUAAACAAUAUUAUAUAUUUUUGGUUUCUAUAUUGAUAUUCAUGGUUUGAAUGUGGUAAAUCGCCUAGUGAGGUGUUAAAGGGAUGAGAGAUGCGGGUAAAGGUUGAUGGUCAACUCCGUGGACUAAGAAGAUUCUUGAUGUAUUCUACUCAUAUCUGUAUUUAGUUGAUCUAUUUUGUAUUAGAAUAAACUCCUAUAUUAUCUAGUAUACUUCUUGUAUUCUCCCUUUAAAGGAUGUUACGGGUCAAAGAUGAGACGCCGUAUUUCAUUAUUUAUCUCUAGUCUUUAACUAUCUCAUCCUUUACUAAACUCUUUUAACUUUCUGCAAUCAACUAUAUCAUUCAGUUUUUACAUCUCCAUAAUGCACUUAGGAUUUGGUGCUUGAUGCAAUAUGUUCCAACAAUGGAUACUUAGCAACUUUUUGAAUUCAUUUAUGAAUCAAGGAGAUUAAGCUUGUUCUCAGAAAAAAAUGGAACAGAGCCGUGCUCUUUUUUUGUAAAUUCAACCUAAAUCUGGGGAUAUAUACUUAUUUAUCUUUUUUUUUUGUAUGAAAUUUAACUGUUUUAAAAAUUGCCAACGGAAAGACUUGGAUUUUAUAUAUGCUGUGGAAUUGGGUAGAUUAAGAAUGACAUUUAUUAGUUAGAUUCGAAAAAGAUAAUAUAUUAUUAAAUUACAAUAGAACACACAUUGA